CCAUAUCAGUUUGAACACACCGGUUCCCCUACGAUCACGGAAUUUAAGCAACGACGAACCUGGGGAGAAUUUGGGUGACCACUUGGGAAUACCAGGUGCUGUAAG